AACGAACGCUGGCGGCAUGCCUAACACAUGCAAGUCGAACGAGAUCUUCGGGUCUAGUGGCGCACGGGUGCGUAACGCGUGGGAAUCUGCCCUUUGGUUCGGAAUAACAGUUGGAAACGACUGCUAAUACCGGAUGAUGAUGAAAGUCCAAAGAUUUAUCGCCAGAGGAUGAGCCCGCGUAGGAUUAGCUAGUUGGUGUGGUAAAGGCGCACCAAGGCGACGAUCCUUAGCUGGUCUGAGAGGAUGAUCAGCCACACUGGGACUGAGACACGGCCCAGACUCCUACGGGAGGCAGCAGUGGGGAAUAUUGGACGAUGGGCGAAAGCCUGAUCCAGCAAUGCCGCGUGAGUGAUGAAGGCCUUAGGGUUGUAAAGCUCUUUUACCCGGGAUGAUAAUGACAGUACCGGGAGAAUAAGCUCCGGCUAACUCCGUGCCAGCCGCCGCGGUAA
rnacentral:rRNA from 1 species